GACGAACGCUGGCGGCGUGCUUAACACAUGCAAGUCGAACGGUAAGGCCCUUCGGGGUACACGAGUGGCGAACGGGUGAGUAACACGUGGGUGAUCUGCCCUGCACUUUGGGAUAAGCCUGGGAAACUGGGUCUAAUACCGGAUAGGACCAUGCGCCUCACGGUGUGUGGUGGAAAGCUUUUGCGGUGUGGGAUGGGCCCGCGGCCUAUCAGCUUGUUGGUGGGGUAAUGGCCUACCAAGGCGACGACGGGUAGCCGGCCUGAGAGGGUGACCGGCCACACUGGGACUGAGAUGCGGCCCAGACUCCUACGGGAGGCAGCAGUGGGGAAUAUUGCACAAUGGGCGCAAGCCUGAUGCAGCGACGCCGCGUGAGGGAUGACGGCCUUCGGGUUGUAAACCUCUUUCAGUAGGGACGAAGCGCAAGUGACGGUACCUACAGAAGAAGGACCGGCCAACUACGUGCCAGCAGCCGCCGUAA
rnacentral:rRNA from 1 species